CAUACCUGGAUUCCCUAGUACGGCGAGUGAGCGGGAAGAGCUCAAAUUUGAAAUCUGGUAGCCUUCGGUUGCCCGAGUUGUAAUCUAGAGAAGUGUUUUCCGUGCCGGCCCAUGUACAAGUCCCUUGGAACAGGGCGUCAUAGAGGGUGAGAAUCCCGUCCUUGACAUGGACCCCCGGUGCUUUGUGAUACACUUUCAACGAGUCGAGUUGUUUGGGAAUGCAGCUCAAAAUGGGUGGUGAAUUCCAUCUAAAGCUAAAUAUUGGCGAGAGACCGAUAGCGAACAAGUACCGUGAGGGAAAGAUGAAAAGCACUUUGGAAAGAGAGUUAAACAGUACGUGAAAUUGUUGAAAGGGAAACGAUUGAAGUCAGUCAUGCUCUUGGGACUUACCUCCCUUGAGUGGGGUCAACAUCAGUUUUGAUCGAUGGAUAAAGGCACGGGGAAGGUAGCACUCUCGGGUGAACUUAUAGCCUCGCGUCAUAUACAUUGAUUGGGACUGAGGAACGCAGCAUGCCUUUUGGCCGGGAUUCGUCCACGUACAUGCUUAGGAUGUUGACAUAAUGGCUUUAAACGACCCGUCUUGAA
rnacentral:rRNA from 1 species